GACGUAGGGGGCCAGCGUUGUUCGGAAUUACUGGGUGUAAAGGGUUCGUAGGCGGUGUGGCAAGUCGGGAGUGAAAUCUCUGGGCUCAACCCAGAGACUUCUUCCGAAACUGCUGUGCUUGAGUGUGAGAGAGGCUCGUGGAAUUGCAGGUGUAGCGGUGAAAUGCGUAGAUAUCUGCAGGAACACCCGUGGCGAAAGCGGCGAGCUGGAUCACUACUGACGCUGAGGAACGAAAGCUAGGGGAGCAAACAGG
rnacentral:rRNA from 1 species